rnacentral:lncRNA from 13 species
GUGGAACUUUCACACAAUGUCUUCAGAAACCCAAGAGAGAUUGCUCACUUUUUUUCUAUUAUGUAAGGACACAGUGAGAAGGCACCAUCUAUGAAGUAGAAAAUGGGCCUCACCAGACACAAAAUCCAUCAGUAACAUGAUCUUGGACUUCUUCGCUUCCAGAACUAGACAUGGUCUUGCACUGUUUCCCAGGCUGAAGUGCAGUGGUAUGAUCAUGUCACACUGCAGCCUUGAAAUCCUGAACUCAAGCGAUCCUCCUACCUCAGGCUUCACAAGUAUUGCUUUUCCACACCACUUGCCAACACUCCGAAGACAUACAAAACUAGGAUGAAUUUCUACCCACGGCAAAGGAAUGGAGAAAACCAGCCUGUGCUGCUUUCACCCUCUAUUAUAGAAUUAUAGACUGGAGAAUGGGCAGAAAGGCAGAGAAAUAAACAGGGAUCAGAUUAUAAAAGUUUCCUUAUU